GUCUAUAGUCAUAUCACCCUGAACAUGCUUGAUCUUGACUGAUCUCAGAAGCCAAGCAGGGUCAGGCCUGGUUAGUACUUGGACAGAAGAGGCCAGAACAGUGUGACC
rnacentral:rRNA from 1 species